CCGCCGCCAACGGGCUCGUCAUCGUCGGUGGUGGCCACCUCGGGGGCACAUACGGUUCCGGUCAGCCAGGAGGGCGGGCAGAAAGAGUACGCCAUGUUCCGGCCUGUGGGCACAGCCGAAAGCAGACGGCCAACGUUCUGGCGCGGGGGAGCCAAGCAAGCGAAAGAGGAAGCGGCUGCGACGCACGCCAAGGUGACAAGGUCCAGAUUCGGCCGCUUUGCUGACGACAGCCUGACCGAGGAACUCGACCAACUGAAGUCGCAGUAGUCGAAACGCGAGCGCCACCACUUCCCGAGUGCCCGCAAGCGACGCGAUGCCGGCCUUUCCAAAACUGAGGCAGCCCACUGAAUAUCCCGUCAUAGCAGGCAACAACCUAUGGCAAGAGAAGACCAACAGCUACAUCGAUGUGGUCUAUUUCACCAUCAAGCCAUGCCAUGUAUGUUGUAUCUAAUAUCGCGUGCCAAGUGAGCUGCAGUUGGCGAUGAUGAGCCUUUCUCAUUUUGUAUAACUCAAAAGGACGUUCACAUAGGGCAGCAAAUUAGUUUGUGCGCCCGCCUCGCUACCUUGAGCGUGACAUGCGCCUUGUGUCUUGUAUAAGGUGAUACUGUUUUAAGGUGUUCCAUGCACUGGGCACAUAUUUCAAUGCUUAGAGUGGGCAUUUGUACAGGUACGAAGAAAAGUAUGUCGGUAGCUUUAUCGUGAUCAGCGCUUUAAGUUAAGGUACUACUUGUAUUUUUUGAGCACUUGUUCCGGGAUGAAACUGUGCUUUGUGUUAUCUCAGUGAUAACACUCGAAUACGCGUGGCAAUACUGCUUGAUUGUGACAUUGUUCGAAAAAUCUUGUUAUCUUGAAAGCACUGUUUUAUUGUGAUACUUGGAGACUCAUUCUGAGAUGAUCAGUUACGUAUCUUGCUACAAACUGCGUUCACAUUUGUUAUUAUGCGAAAUUGUUCUACUUCUAAAAAAAGUGUGUUAAGUUGAACUGUGAAGUAAUCUCACAAUAGAAUGAGCGGAACACUCAAUCAAUGAGAACGCAACCUUUCAUAAGUGUGAGCUGCCCUUCAAGAGGAUUUUACAGGGGAUAGACUUUUCGAGAACCUUGCGUUACAAUGUGCAGUCGUCAGAUCUCGAAAGAAGCUAAAAAUCUGGCUCCUAAGGUCCAGUAUUGGACAUCAGUGAACAGGAGGCAUCGACAGAUCGUGUGUUCAGUUUGGUGCGCAUUUUUCAAUGCAUUUCAUUCUAAUGUGUGAGCAGAGAAAUUGUAAUAUACCUACAUAAACCAUGGGGGAGGUCUGUCUCUUCACGCAUGUCGAGAUAAAUGCGCAAAACAGGGCAAACUCAAGCACGAAAGCAAAACUAACUGAUCCAAACGCCCUUUCCGCCUAAUGACAUACACGUAUGAUGUCUGAUCGAUGUGUAGUCUGCUCUUAGGCAUAUCGCAUUCUAAAAUGUAUCUUUAGGAGUUUAAAUUAGGUCAUUGUCCCUAAGAGAAGACCAGCAAAUUCAUGCAACAAUGCACCCGGGUUUCUUUGAAGGCGUUAGCGUUUCAAUUAGUGCUUACGACGUAGCGUGUGGUGUUCCUGCCAGUUCAAUUGACGCGGAAUGCGAUUAAGCGAACGGCAUUUUAAGAGACUUCUUAUCAAGACGCAACUCCCCUCGCUAGAUUACCUCAGCGUGCUUUUUUCGCGGACUUCAACAUGCACAGAUAAAGUGCGUUUCGAGUGCAUUUCAAAACCAAUUGUCUCGCCUAAAUGACAUUGUCGCCCAUUCGAAGUUCCUUUAAUUUUGGAUUCAAGUCAUAACACUUUGUAGAGGGAUGUCAGUGACAUGUCAUUAUAAGCUAGAAGGGCCAAAGAAGGGGUGUAGUUGGCUCUGCAUAGUUUGCACAUGCUACGCGCUGUUUGAACACUAAGAACACUAAGAAAGACGUACUACGUUUUUUUUGUGCGUAUUUCUUAGUGUUCAAACAGCACGUCGCCUGUGCCAUUGAUAGGACUCAAACCAUUUUGGAUAGAAUUUUGUUGUGCCAAACGACACUUGGAGACGAGCAAUUUGUGCGGCUAUGUUCAUUAACGAUGUGUUCACUUCUGCGUCGCGUUUUGUUCGUCUCAGAGGGAUAAUGAGCUUGGGAUCUUAAGACGGUACUUUGCGAAUGCAUUUCGAUGAAGGUGUUAGAAAACAAUUAGAUAGCGGUGCGCCGGCGUUCUACCGUCGCUCGACGUCAAAACAACCUUAGCGUAGGCGUAAGUAGCAUUUACGCGAUCCCCGUGUGAGUGUACAGUGACCAAGCUUGCGGGUGUCAUUUCGGUUCCCGCUCCCUGUUUGCCUCCUCGAGCUAUCAAAGUCUCACUGUUUGAAUAUUCAGUAUACAUAUAUAUUUACUGUAACGCUCUCGUAGAAGUUCCUAGUUGUGUUUCACAAAAUGGCAGCUUUGAGAAAAGAAAGCAAGAUAGCGCUUAUUUUUCUAAAUCAGUAAAAAUGGAAAAGAAGCAAGUAACGAAGGAGCGCUCAAGAACUUUAGAGCAGGUGACCAAGUGUUCGCCCCUUCACAGCACUAACAUGUAGACAGAGUUUGGCUUUCGCGUCCUCGUCGAUUUUAUGCGAUUUGUUUCCUUUGAUGCUUGUAGAUAAGCUCUGUGUACUUCCUCGUUACUUAACGGUGCCUCGCGCACUCCGAAGAUAUGAUAUCUAUAAAAUAGGUCAAUUCAAGUGUGACAUUAUCGCAUCGUCACAGGUGCUCCCUCUGUCUGCUUGAUCACGUGGCUAGCCCCUUUUUAUGAACACGAAUGAAUCUUCUCACGUAGCCGCUUUGAACUUGUUCAGGCUGUCGUUACUUGCUUCGAUAACUGCGGUAGUCAGGCGAUGAAAAAAAGUAUAAAGCAGAUAAAGGUUGUGCCGUUGCAUUUCGCGGAGAGCUUGACUGUUAUAUCGACGUUGUCUAGUCGCCGAUGAAGAUCUCGCGAAGAGUCACUGUGUUUUUAAGUCAGUCUUUAUGUUAUUUGGGUGUACAGUCGUCAGCAGGCAUAACUAGAACUCUCCGCAGCCAGUCCUGAAACGGUGUGAUUGACACCAGCGCCGCGUAGUUUUAGGUUCUGUUGCCGAGAUGUUACCAAUGCAUUCCGACAUGCUAUCGAAGCAUACCGAGGUAUCGUCUCGGCAACAGCGUCCAGCGCUUCGUGGCUGGCAUCAGUCAAACCAGUCCAGGCCACGCUGCGGAACGUUGGAGUUAAGCUUGCUGAGGACAGUACAUAUCGUGACGGUAUGGUGCGAUUGCGACGCAUUCAUUGAAGCAUGGUUAAUGUCUUCCUGAAAGAGAUUACGGUAUAGCGGGCUAUAAAGAUUGAAGAAUCUUGGUGCUUAAUUAAGACAAACUUAACCGCAAACAUCCUUCUUAGAGUUCCUCAGGGUAAGUGUAAUGGGUCGGUGUUCCGUAUUUUAGAAGGAUAUAUAGACUAUCCAAGCCAGUCCCCGGACUGUCCCAAGUGAGUGUACAGAACAGAUUAGAGUUGGCAUCUAGAAAACUAAGGUUGUUGUAAUACAUCGACAUCCUGUGCACGGAUACGUCACGACAACUGCGUAGUAAUAACAGAACUGGCGAUAGCUACCGUAGCUGAAGCAGACAAUUAGGGUUGUCAGUAUAUGUUGUCCCUUCGUGUUACUGGACACAGCUCAUUAUUAGUGCAGGUUCGAACUUGCGGUGAUAAAAUUAACAGGUUGUCAGGAGUGUUUCCAAACAAUCUCGCUGCACCAUGAAUGCCAUCCCGUACGUUUUCAUCCUCUCUACGAUACCCACCGCCUUUUCCUUAGAGACAAAAGUGAGACGCUGUGGCAGCCUCAUCAAAGACAGUACCCAGGCGUAAUCUAUAGGCCGAGUCUGUCACCCCCCAGGUGAUACUGUAAAUAGGCAUGUAUAUUGUCUGUGUAUCCUGCAUUUAUCCGAAAACGCGCACGUUGAUCUUGUUGAGAUUGUUCAUGUACAUUACCAAGAGUGUGAGCAGAUCCACUGUCUCAAUCGGCGUUGCUUACGGUUCAAGACGCUGAACCACCUAGACUGCUCGUGUUAUUCCGUAAACUGCAAGAAGUUUACGGACAAGAUCGCAGUAUAUGGAAAAAGGCUUAUGCGGUCCGUUGUGCCGCAGUUUGUGGAGCAGCCCAGCGCGUGUGUUUCAAACUAAGGUUGUCGCGUUGAGAAAUGACGCCUUCUUUUUUUUUUGUCUCCGUGUCUGUGCUCUGUCGGUCGUGUAAACAGGCGCAAAGGUUGUGUACAAUGUCGGUCGCAUUCACGUUUCACUAUUAGAGGGUAGUUUCCAGUGCCGCGUCAGAGUGUUGUAUAGUUCGGUGUAUGUUUAAAUAUGCGUGUUGAAAAACUAAACACACGAGGGUGAAUAAACGCCCACAACUCUGAUAAAGAGUCUCUAGUACCGUCGCAGCGCUAUCAUUGUGUGUUAUAGAGUGGGGUGCCCCGUUUGAUUCAUAUCUAAAGGCUCAAAAUAUUUUUCUCUUGGUGUCUAUACGCGUGUAUAUAUGUGUGUAUGUGUGCUCGUUUGCAUCCGAGCCUGCCCAUCUUGAGAGAUGUAAAUGUAGACAGCGAGAAAAAUUGUUAAACCCCGAAGCCCUCACGAGAUCGCUGCAAGAGGAAGCAAGACAGUCGUUAUGUGCUUAGCGUAACAAUGUAACAGAUCCAUCUGGCUGGCGUUCCACGAUUGAAAUUUACUUAGUAUGGCUAGAAAAUACGGACACAAAAGGGGUUACAAGGCAAGCACUUGCACAAUGAGCCUGCGAAACAAGGCUGAGGAAAUGCUUGACGAGGAUUACCUAUAUUGGCUAACCACGGCUGCUGUUCAGCGUAGUACUGUAUUGCUUCUACCGGAUGUUCAACUCAUAUGCAUAUUUGAAGAAUACUAGGAUUCUGCUUGAAUUAUUAGUAUAAAGCAUCACGAGGGUUUCCAUUCCCUGGAAUUUCACAACCAUGCAAGAAAAAAGAACAGGACAUUUUUUUAGACAUACAAUAACGAAGUAUUUGAUUUACAAAACAGUGACAGUUAGAUGAAGAAUUCAUUAAGCAUGUGACAAUUUGGCUUACUGUCAAAAGAUUCUCAGCAUAAAAUAGCUAGGGAACUAACUUGGGUUGUUUCCGCUACUUCAAGACCGAUCAAAAGUGUCCCACCAUCCAAGGUGUCCGGUUCUCAAACGAUUGCUGUAAUGAAUGACGUGUCCCUCCUUUUUUUUGUCAGGGCUAGGUAAUCAGUAAAAACUUUGGCUCAUCACCCGGUAGGCUCUUUUCUAAGUAUGGUUACACGUGUACCAAAUGAAAUAUGCUCUUGCAGCGUACCGCUGGCUGCCCUGUCUUGCCUCCCAAACCUGCAAGCGCUCCUUAUCGCAAAAGCCCAAAAUUUUAAGACCCGUAAAGCACCAAUUUUCGAUUUCCCAGCGUGAAACUGUCUUGACCCGACUUGGCUUCCGUCGACUAGCGAGAAAUCCGAUUGACUUCAUUCUCGUCGACGACUCAUCUGAGGACGGUGUGAUAUAGAUGUGCUUAUCUCUCUGUGUCUAUACGUCUUCUUUCUCUCUUUUCUCGGGCGAGUUCUCUAUUUCGACGUCUUUUCGCGUUCAGAUACAGGCGAUUGUAAAUUCCACCAAGGUGUGUUCACGGAACCACAAUCUUUGCCUCUUCUCGACUCGCACGAGAAGAUGUGUGAAUACAUGUUAUCUCCCCCAUUCUUCUAGCGUUAGUCAACCGCUCGACUUUUGACAGCUCCCGGAUUGGUUUGGCUGCUUUAGGGCGUCUGUCUCUGUGCAUAGUGUAAACCAGGGCUUCGGAGUGGAUGAAGCGCUGCUAAACUGUUCAAGUCGAAAAGAUUUGUGGCUCAAAUUUCAAGCUGCAUUGUCUGUUUGCCAAUGGCAGCGUGUAAUCUUUAUAGUGAGCAAUCUAUGUAGUUUUUAUCAAAUUUCGAAGCAGGCAUUCGUACGUUUUGCCCUACGCCAUGGCCCCACGGCUACAAAACGAGGCCUGUCGAUUGUUCCACCAAUCAUGCAACCAAGCUAUGGUCAUUUAAUGUUAUCUAUUCAGUCAUCUAACCUGUAGUGAUUAGAAGUUGUCCGCUGGAAUCUAGAUUGACAAAUUAAGUACAGUGAAUUGGUGUAAAAUACAAAGCUUUCCUAUUUGACGUCGAUAACGUACAGCUCAAGCACCCCAGUUCAAUUUAUUGACGCCACUUAUUCGUGCAGAUAACUCUCACUCCGCAGCCCUGGUAUCUAAGCGGUUAUUUCGCAAUCUUGUGCACUAUCUUAGAGUGUAGAUAUGUGAAAAAAAAACGUUACCCAAGAUUUCCUUAAGAUACCGUGCCUGCAUGCAUAUAAAAUCUCACCACGUUGUACCGAAGAAGCCCUUUGGAAUCUUUCUCUGUACAUUUUUUUUCGCAUCAAGCCCUGUAGAAGAGUGUACCUGGGAUGUGUUCCCGCAGGUGUGCUGUACCUACCGAACCAUUUGUACAUAAAUCGAGGAAUUAUUUUCAAUAAAAAAUGUCACACACGUA